CAGGUCGACGGAGCGACUCAGGCUGGCAAGGAUGGCGGUCAGGGACAUCGCAGGACGGCGAUUCACCAGGAUGGUGAUACAGGGAAGCGCGAAACAGACAAGGAGGCGGGGUCAUCCCCGCCUCCUUUGU
rfam:Pseudomonadales bacterium GWC1_66_9 gwc1_scaffold_16050, whole genome shotgun sequence.